rnacentral:rRNA from 1 species
AUGGUGAAGGCAACACAGACAAAAAUUUUGUUUUUAUGUGAGACUAGACAGAGUUCAGAAAAAAUAAAAAGAUUACGUACUCGGUUAGGCCUUAGAGGUUUUUCUGGUGUCAGCAGUAAUGGGUUGAGUGGUGGCCUUGCUCUUUUCUGGUGUGAUAGUCUGCAUGUUGAAGUU